rnacentral:sRNA from 1 species
AUCCACAGUUACCAACAGUAAUAUAACAAGAGUUAACUUCAACAGUAUUUAUUUGUGCAACUUAAAAGACACCAUAGGAAGCCUUGAAGCUAUCACCCCUAUGCUGAAGUACUGAAAUGAGAGGAAACCAUGUCGUUCACUCCUUUUUCCCGACUCCAUGAGACAUGUUAACCCCAGACUCACUAUCAUAAACAAGCUGGAGGCGGCAAGAGCGAGGGGAAUGGCAACGGAGGUGACCACAUCAUAACGCCCUUUCAGAUACGUGUGCUUGGUCAAGUUCUGAAAAUACUGCUGCUGCUUAAAGAGCCUCUCGCGCGGCAAAAACGGUGAUUCUGUCAUUCUGCAUCACAACAGAAGGAA